rnacentral:rRNA from 1 species
UACAGAGGGUGCAAGCGUUGUUCGGAAUUACUGGGCGUAAAGCGCGUGUAGGCGGCCAAAUAAGUCAGAUGUGAAAGCCCUCGGCUCAACCGAGGAAGUGCAUCUGAUACUGUAUGGCUUGAAUGUCGGAGGGGGUGGCGGAAUUCCCGGUGUAGAGGUGAAAUUCGUAGAUAUCGGGAGGAACACCUGUGGCGAAGGCGGCCACCUGGACGACUAUUGACGCUGAGACGCGAAAGCGUGGGGAGCAAACAGG